rnacentral:rRNA from 1 species
GUAGGUGGCAAGCGUUGUCCGGAAUUAUUGGGGCGUAAAGCGCGCGCAGGCGGUUCUUUAAGUCUGAUGUGAAAGCCCACGGGCUCAACCAUGGAGGGUCAUUGGAAACUGGAGAACUUGAGUACAGAAGAGGAAAGCGGAAUUCCACGUGUAGCGGUGAAAUGCGUAGAGAUGUGGAGGAACACCAGUGGCGAAGGCGGCUUUCUGGCCUGUAACCGACGCUGAGGCGCGAAAGCGUGGGGAGCAAACAGGAUUAGAUACCCUGGUAGUCCACGCCGUAAACGAUGAGUGCUAAGUGUUAGGGGGUUUCCGCCCCUUAGUGCUGCAGCUAACGCAUUAAGCACUCCGCCUGGGGAGUACGGCCGCAAAGGCUG